CAAAUAAUGUGCCUUUUGGGUCAUCCAAAUGUUACCUCUUUGAAGCAUUGUUUCUUUUCCACAACUGGGAAAGAUGAGCUCUAUUUUACUCUGGUGCUUGAGUUUGUCCCUGAAACUGUUCACCGUGUCAUCAGACACUACAACAAGAAUUCCAUUGAUAUAUGUCGGAUAAGCUUUCUGGAAGAAUAUCGAACUAUUAAAGCUUGUGAAAAGAUUUGCGACAUUACUCACUCUUAUCUUGGUCCUAAUGAUUAACAGGGAAGAUGGAGAACUUGAAUUGAAACUGAAGUGAUAAGUAAAGUGACAUUUUCUGCUCUUUAGGACCUUUUAAACAGCAGCAUCAAGCGAGUUUCACGCUUCUCCAAGACCUUUAGUUAUGAAGGAAAUCAAGAAGAUAAGCUAAUAGUCGGUAAUCUGGAUCUUCAAGUCAUUGGACGCAAGCUUGAGUUAAUGGUGUCCUUGGCAGACUUUGAAGAUUCUAAAUUGCCAUGGCACGAGCACGAUAUUGAAGAUUCUAGAACUUGUUCGUCAAACUGAGAAAUUCUUCAGUAAGCUCAUCAAGAAAGAGAUUACACUUCAAAGACCCAAAUCAUCAUCUAAUUUUAAUCAAGUUGAAGAUUCUGGAACGAGUUAUUCAGCCGGAUAAGCUUUUUGGAAGAUUAUCGAACUAUUGAAGCUUGUGAAAAGCUUUGCGACAUUACUCACUCUUAUCUUGGUCCUAAUGAUUAAGGGAAGAUGGAGAACUUGAAUUGAAACUGAAGUGACAAGUAAAGUGACAUUUUCCGCUCUUUAGGACCUUUUAAACAGCAGCAUCAAGUGAGUUUCACGCUCCUCCAAGGCCUUUAGUUUCCGGUAUCUUUCUUGUUUAUGUUUAAUCCAUUACACAUGUUUAGUUUGGUGAAUUUGAAUUUUGGGUUUUGUUUAUUUGUGCAAUUAGAUUGAAUCGUGUUUAUGGAUGUGUAUUGUUGGAUUUCUGUUUAGAGUAGCUUAAAAAAUUGAAGUUAGUUGGGUAAUUAGAUCCAAAUAAUGUGAACUAUUUCGAAAAGCAGAAAUUAUUCAUCUCCCAUAUUUUCAAUUGCUAUUU